rnacentral:rRNA from 1 species
AGUGAACGCUGGCGGUAGGCCUAACACAUGCAAGUCGAACGGCAGCACAGUAAGAGCUUGCUCUUACGGGUGGCGAGUGGCGGACGGGUGAGGAAUACAUCGGAAUCUACUUUUUCGUGGGGGAUAACGUAGGGAAACUUACGCUAAUACCGCAUACGACCUACGGGUGAAAGCAGGGGAUCUUCGGACCUUGCGCGAUUGAAUGAGCCGAUGUCGGAUUAGCUAGUUGGCGGGGUAAAGGCCCACCAAGGCGACGAUCCGUAGCUGGUCUGAGAGGAUGAUCAGCGACACUGGAACUGAGCCACGGUCCAGACUCCUACGGGAGGCAGCAGUGGGGAAUAUUGGACAAUAGGCGCAAGCCUGAUCCAGCCAUACCGCGUGGGUGAAGAAGGCCUUCGGGUUGUAAAGCCCUUUUGUUGGGAAAGAAAAGCAGCAGGUUAAUACCCCGCUGUUCUGACGGUACCCAAAGAAUAAGCACCGGCUAACUUCGUG